GAAACGCGAUAUGUAGUGUGAAUUGCAGAAUUCAGUGAAUCAUCGAAUCUUUGAACGCACAUUGCGCCUCCCAGUAUCCUGGGAGGCAUGCCUGUCCGAGCGUCGUUUCAACCCUCGAGCCCCCGUGGCCCGGCGUUGGGGAGCCGCCAGCGUAAGCUCCCGCGGUCCCCGAAAUACAGUGGCGGUCCCGCGCGUCCCAGCCCUUUGCGUAGUAGCAUUCGCUCGCAUUGGCAGGCCCGCGGGCUUACCAGCCUCGAAACCCCCUACAAAGACCGCUCCGGCGGCACGGUUGACCUCGGAUCAGGUAGGACUACCCGCUGAACUUAA
rnacentral:misc_RNA from 1 species